UUGAACGCUGGCGGCAGGCCUAACACCUGCAAGUCGAACGGUAACAGAAAGCAGCUUGCUGCUUUGCUGACGAGUGGCGGACGGGUGAGUAAUGUCUGGGAAACUGCCUGAUGGAGGGGGAUAACUACUGGAAACGGUAGCUAAUACCGCAUAACGUCGCAAGACCAAAGAGGGGGACCUUCGGGCCUCUUGCCAUCGGAUGUGCCCAGAUGGGAUUAGCUAGUAGGUGGGGUAACGGCUCACCUAGGCGACGAUCCCUAGCUGGUCUGAGAGGAUGACCAGCCACACUGGAACUGAGACACGGUCCAGACUCCUACGGGAGGCAGCAGUGGGGAAUAUUGCACAAUGGGCGCAAGCCUGAUGCAGCCAUGCCGCGUGUAUGAAGAAGGCCUUCGGGUUGUAAAGUACUUUCAGCGGGGAGGAAGGGAGUAAAGUUAAUACCUUUGCUCAUUGACGUUACCCGCAGAAGAAGCACCGGCUAACUCCGUG
rnacentral:rRNA from 1 species